AAACAAACAGUUUCAAACACAGAUACACACACAUGUACUCAUGUGCACACUGACACACAAACUGACAGAUACACAUACUGACAGCUAUGCUGCCAUACUCACUGAUACAGACACACACACUGAUACUCAUACACACAUACAGAUACACAGACACGCUGGCAUACAUGAAAAUACACAAACACACACACAGUUACACAUACAUAUACAUACACUGAAACGUAGGUACACAUACUGACAG